rnacentral:misc_RNA from 1 species
UCCGACUUAACGUCGGCAGUCUCUCUAGAGUGCCCAACUAAAUGCUGGCAACUAAAGACAAGGGUUGCGCUCGUUGCGGGACUUAACCCAACAUCUCACGACACGAGCUGACGACAGCCAUGCAGCACCUGUGUACAGACUCUUGCGAGCGACGACAUCUCUGCCAGUCUUCCUGUACAUGUCAAACCCAGGUAAGGUUUUUCGCGUUGCAUCGAAUUAAACCACAUACUCCACCGCUUGUGCGGGCCCCCGUCAAUUUCUUUGAGUUUUAAUCUUGCGACCGUACUCCCCAGGCGGGAUACUUAACGCGUUAGCUUCGUCACUGAAGGGGUCAAUACCUCCAACAACAAGUAUCCAUCGUUUACGGCGUGGACUAC